rnacentral:rRNA from 1 species
AACGAACGCUGGCGGCAGUGUUAACACAUGCAAGUCGAACGCCCCGCAAGGGGAGUUGCAGACGGGUGAGUAACGCGUGGGAACAUACCCUUUUCUACGGAAUAGCUCUGGGGAACUGGAAUUAAUACCGUAUACGCCCUACGGGUGAAAGAUUUAUCGGGGAAGAAUUGGCCCGCGUUGGAUUAGCUAGUUGGUGGGGUAAAGGCCUACCAAGGCGACGAUCCAUAGCUGGUCUGAGAGGAUGAUCAGCCACAUUGGGACUGAGACACGGCCCAAACUCCUACGGGAGGCAGCAGUGGGGAAUAUUGGACAAUGGGCGCAAGCCUGAUCCAGCCAUGCCGCGUGAGUGAUGAAGGCCUUAGGGUUGUAAAGCUAGAGAACCGAUGAAGAUAAUGACGGUAGUCGGAGAAGAAGCCCCGGAGAACUUCGUGCAAGAAGCAGGAGGAAGAC